UCGAUUCUGGCUCAGAUUGAACUCGCUAGCGGGAUGCCUUACACAUGCAAGUCGAACGGCAGCACGGACUUCGGUCUGGUGGCGAGUGGCGAACGGGUGCAAUGUAUCGGAACGUGCCUAGUAGCGGGGAUAAUCCACAGCGAAAGCGCUAAUGCACACGCCCUUCAAGCGGGGACCUUCGGGCCUUACCAGAGCGGUCGAUAUCGGAUUAGCUAGUUGCGGGGUAACGACAUACACGAUCCGUAGCUGGUUUGAGAGGACGACCAGCCACACUGGGACCGGAGACAGCCCAGACUCCUACGGGAGGCAGCAGUGGGGAAUUUGGACAAUGGGAAACCCCUGAUCCAGCCAUCCCGCGUGCGAUGAAGGCCUUCGGGUUGUAAAGCACUUUUGGCAGGGAAAGAAACGGCACGGGAUAAUACCCCGCACCAUCGGCACUCUGGCAGAGCUGGGCACUGCCAAUCACGUGCCAGCAGCCGCGGUAAUGCAGGUGGUAAGCGUUAAUCGGAAUCAUUACAGCGUGCGCAGGCGGUUCGGAAAGAAAGAUGUGAAACUCAGAGCUUAACUGAAACCGCAUUUUUAACUGUCGAGCUAGAGUGUGUCAGAGGGAGGUGGAAUUCGCGUGUAGCGCAGUGAAAUGCGUAGAUAUGCGGAGGAACACCGAUGGCGAAGGCAGCCUCCUGGGAUAACACUGACGCUCAUGCACGAAAGCGUGGGGAGCAAACAGGAUUAGAUACCCUGGUAGUCCCACGCCCUAAACGAUGUCAACUAGCUGUUGGGGCCCUGGCCUUUGGUAGCGGAAGCUAAUGCGGUGAAGUUGACCGGGAGUACUUUAUUCGUAAGAUUAAAAACAAAGAAUUGACGGGGACUCGCAGCAAGCGUGAUGAUGUGGAUUAAUUGAUGCAACCAGCAAAAACCUACCUACCCUUGACAUGUCUGGAAUCCCGAAGAGAUUUGGGAGUGCUCGCAAGAGAACCGGAACACAGGUGCUGCAUGGCUGUCGUCAGCUCGUGUCGUGAGAUGUUGGGUUAAGUCCCGCAACGAGCGCAACCUCGACAAGAAGGUUACGAAAGGGCACUCUAUCGAGACUGCCGGUGACAAACCGAGGAAGGUGGGGAUGACGUCAGUCCUCAUGGCCCUUAUGGGUAGGGCUUCACACGUCAUACAAUGGUCGGGACAGAGGGUCGCCAACCCGCGAGGGGGAGCCAAUCCCAGAAACCCGAUCGUAGUCCGGAUCGCAGUCUGCAACUCGACUGCGUGAAGUCGGAAUCGCUAGUAAUCGCGGAUCAGCUGUCGCGGUGAUAAUGUUCCCGGGUCUUGUACCGCCCGUCACACCAUGGGAGUGGGUUUUACCAGAAGGAGUUAGCCUAACCGUAAGGAGGGCGAUUACCACGGUAGGAUUCAUGACUGGGGUGAAGUCGUAACAAGUAA
rnacentral:rRNA from 1 species